GGCCCUUCCAGGUUUGCACCAGAUUCUCCCUGACAUAGCCAUUCAUUCCUGCCCUUCUCAGGAGGAGCAAGAAAUUGCAUUGGAAAACAAUUUGCUAUGAAUGAGCUGAAGGUGGUUGUGGCCCUGACCGUACUCCGCUUUGAGCUGCUGCCAGAUCGCACCAGGGUGCCCAUCCCCUUAAUACGACCUGUGUUGAAAUCCAUAAUGGGAUCUACCUGCAUCUCAAGAAGAUCCACUGAUUCUGUUCUGGAUCUCAGAAGUCUGAAAUGGGUGUCACUGAAAGGAAACCAGUUGUUGAUAAGACCAACCUUCUGGAGAGUUCUCUGGAGAGUCCGUCUCCUCCCCCUUUCAGUAUAAACUACCAUUCCAUGUCACUGGACUGUCACCCUGCUUUAAAGCCAGCAUCCUCCAAAAUACUGUCUUCUAAUUUCUUUCCUUUUUGCAAAGAUUUUUGUGACAUCAUCAAGCCCACUAAAAAAAAUCCAAAACAAUUUUACCAGCUUAAUAUAUUUCUCAGUCCAACAGACUAAGCCCUUUUGAAUUAUGAGGAACAUUCAUGGGCUCCAAACUCAGGGCUUGAACAUCAUUGUGAAGUCUGGCAUAGUCUUUACAUGACUGUUACCUGGUCAGUUUGUCUACAUCUCUCCUGCAUAGUCCCUCUCUACCUGACUGUCCUCUACACAAGUUUCUCCACUUUGUGGACAAUAAAGUUCCCAGUGUCAUACA